GGAAAUAAAAGUCGUAACAAGGUCUCCGUUGGUGAACCAGCGGAGGGAUCAUUACCGAGUUCCAGCAACUCCCAACCCUUGCGAACCGUACCCCAGUCUGUUCUCGUUGCUUCCGGCAGGCGGGGGGGGCCACCUGGCCCCUCCCCCUGCCGGGGGCGGCGGGCCCUCUGAGCCUUUAUAUCUCAACCACUGAAACCCGUCUGAGCAAAACAAAAAAUAAUCAAAACUUUCAACAACGGAUCUCUUGGCUCUG
rnacentral:misc_RNA from 1 species